rnacentral:rRNA from 1 species
GUAGUUAGCCGAACCUUAUUCCGGGGAUACUGUCCUUUCUCAUCUCCCCGAAAAGCGCUUUACAACCCGAAGGCCUUCAUCGCGCACGCGGCGUUGCUGCAUCAGGCUUUCGCCCAUUGUGCAAUAUUCCCUA